GUUUGAUCAUGGCUCAGAGCGAACGUUAGCGGUGGGCCUAACACAUGCAAGUCGAACGCGAAAGGUCUUCGGACUGAGUAGAGUGGCGCACGGGUGAGUAACACGUAGGUAAUCUACCCUUUGGCGGGGGAUAACGUUCCGAAAGGAGCGCUAAUACCGCAUAAGACCACGGAGUCUCCGGACGCUGUGGGAAAAGGUGGCCUCUUCUUGAAAGCUACCACCGAAGGAUGAGCCUGCGUCCCAUCAGCUAGUUGGUAAGGUAAUGGCUUACCAAGGCGAAGACGGGUAGCUGGUUUGAGAGAAUGAUCAGCCACACUGGCACUGGAACACGGGCCAGACUCCUACGGGAGGCAGCAGUGAGGAAUAUUGGGCAAUGGGCGAAAGCCUGACCCAGCCACGCCGCGUGAGUGAUGAAGGCCCUCGGGUCGUAAAGCUCUGUGGAGAGGGACGAAAACCCUGGUUUCAAAUAGGCUCCAGGCUUGACGGUACCUCUUUAGCAAGCACCGGCUAACUCUGUG
rnacentral:rRNA from 1 species